rnacentral:lncRNA from 1 species
UGUAAUUAAUUAAUUAUUUAAAUGAUAUCGAAGGGGGAUAAUUUAUACAAGUAUAAGAUAGCAUGGGCUUGCGUGCUGGGGCUGACACAAAGAGGCCCGCAAAGUUGGGUGAUAAACAAGCACAUAUCCCUUAACCCCAGUUUGGGGACACACAAGUGGACAGACAGUAUGGCGUAUCCUUCUGAUCACUUGACAUGAAAUUUGAACUUGACCGAAUCCAUCCGAGUUGAUUCAUGUAUAUAUGAUUCCUGAGUUUGUCUCGUUCCAUCCAGGCCUCCAAAUUCAAACUCUAUUUAAAGUAGCGGAGGCAGCCCACUGCUUUCUCCAAUGCAAUUGUCUUCAUCACCUCCAACACCUACUUGUUUCUUUAUUUAUUUCUCUCCACCUUUAAUUUGCUCUCUCCCUUAUUUUUAUCCUCUGGAUAGCUUCUCUUAUCUCUCCGACCACAAUAACUUGACGUCCCAAAACACUUUGUGUACCUCUUCUCAU